GUUGAAACACUGGUUUGCAUAUGGUCACCUAAGUUAAGCAACAUCAAGCCUGGUCAGUACCUAGAUGUGUGACCACUUAGGAAUACCAGGUGCUGCAA